CCUACGGGAGGCAGCAGUGAGGAAUAUUGGUCAAUGGACGAGAGUCUGAACCAGCCAAGUAGCGUGAAGGAUGACUGCCCUAUGGGUUGUAAACUUCUUUUAUAUGGGAAUAAAACAGGGUAUGCAUACCAUCUUGUAUGUACCAUAUGAAUAAGGAUCGGCUAACUCCGUGCCAGCAGCCGCGGUAAUACGGAGGAUCCGAGCGUUAUCCGGAUUUAUUGGGUGUAAAGGGAGCGUAGGUGGAUUGUUAAGUCAGUUGUGAAAGUUGGCGGCUCAACCGUAAAAUUGCAGUUGAAACUGGCAGUCUAGAGUACAGGAGAGGGAGGCGGAAUUCGUGGUGUAGCGGUGAAAUGCGUAGAUAUCACGAAGAACACCGAUUGCGAAGGCAGCUCACUGGACUGCAACUGACACUGAGGCUCGAAAGUGUGGGUAGCAAACAGGAUUAGAUACCCGGGUAGUC
rnacentral:rRNA from 1 species